GCGCGAUCACAACAUACACAUAAUUGGAACAAAGCAAAUAAGUAAAUUUUUCCAAUUUCCACUUAGCUCCUAUCUCUAUAUGAAUACGAGUAGCUACAUACAGUGUCCAAGUGAACACCAUUCCUUCCAGUGUCACUACCGUUGCAUACAAUAAUCGUUUAGACAUAUAUGUGAGGUGCCAAUACAAUCCUAACUGCCUCACCACAAAACGGAACCAUUCCACGAGUUUUGGUGAAAUUACCUCAGUAGUGCAUCAACCUUGGCUCC
rnacentral:lncRNA from 1 species